rnacentral:rRNA from 1 species
AGCGAACGCUGGCGGCAGGCCUAACACAUGCAAGUCGAACGAAGUCUUCGGACUUAGUGGCGGACGGGUGAGUAACACGUGGGAACGUGCCUUUAGGUUCGGAAUAACUCAGGGAAACUUGUGCUAAUACCGAAUGUGACCUACGGGGGACAGAUUUAUCGCCUUUAGAGCGGCCAGAGUCUGAUUAGCUAGUUGGUGAGGUAAAGGCUCACCAAGGCGGCGAUCAGUAGCUGGUCUGAGAGGAUGAUCAGCCACAUUGGGACUGAGACACGGCCCAAACUCCUACGGGAGGCAGCAGUGGGGAAUCUUGCGCAAUGGGCGAAAGCCUGACGCAGCCAUGCCGCGUGAAUGAUGAAGGUCUUAGGAUUGUAAAAUUCUUUCACCGGGGACGAUAAUGACGGUACCCGGAGAAGAAGCCCCGGCUAACUUCGUGCCAGCAGCCGCUGUAAUAC